GGGCGAUUGGCUCAGUUGGUUAGAGCGCACGGUUCACAUCCGUGAGGUCACUGGUUCGAAUCCAGUAUCGCCCACCA
rnacentral:tRNA from 2 species